rnacentral:rRNA from 1 species
GAUGAACGCUGGCGGCGUGCCUAAUACAUGCAAGUCGAGCGAACAGACGAGGAGCUUGCUCCUCUGACGUUAGCGGCGGACGGGUGAGUAACACGUGGAUAACCUACCUAUAAGACUGGGAUAACUUCGGGAAACCGGAGCUAAUACCGGAUAAUAUAUUAAACCGCAUGGUUCAAUAGUGAAAGACGGUUUUGCUGUCACUUAUAGAUGGAUCCGCGCCGCAUUAGCUAGUUGGUAAGGUAACGGCUUACCAAGGCAACGAUGCGUAGCCGACCUGAGAGGGUGAUCGGCCACACUGGAACUGAGACACGGUCCAGACUCCUACGGGAGGCAGCAGUAGGGAAUCUUCCGCAAUGGGCGAAAGCCUGACGGAGCAACGCCGCGUGAGUGAUGAAGGUCUUCGGAUCGUAAAACUCUGUUAUUAGGGAAGAACAAAUGUGUAAGUAACUAUGCACGUCUUGGCGGUACCUAAUCAGAAAGCCACGGCUAACUACGUG